UACGUAGGGGGCAAGCGUUGUCCGGAUUUAUUGGGCGUAAAGAGCGUGUAGGCGGCCAUACAGGUCCGUUGUGAAAACUCGAGGCUCAACCUCGAGACGCCGAUGGAAACCGUUUGGCUAGAGUCCGGAAGAGGAGAGUGGAAUUCCUGGUGUAGCGGUGAAAUGCGCAGAUAUCAGGAAGAACACCCGUGGCUAAGGCGGCUCUCUAGUACGGUACUGACGCUGAGACGCGAAAGCGUGGGGAGCGAACAGG
rnacentral:rRNA from 1 species